UUUUUCACAGACGCCAUUUUCUUAGACUCGCGAUGCGGAGCAUAUGAGGAUGGAAAACAGCUAAAUUAAGUGUUUAAUCUUAAUCACAAUAUGUGUUUUGUAAUAUCAUAUCGUUUUAUAGCGAUAUUUAUGAGGUGUGUGCGCCUAAACUUUUUUAAAAGAAAUUUCUUCCACUUGCAAGGCGGACCAGACGAGGACGUUUCUUUUUAAAAGGGACACGCCGAAAGUUAAGUGUUUUAUCUCAUUUAUAUGUAUUUCACAACAUCAUAUUGAUUUAUAGCGAUAUUUGUGUGAUGUGCACUCCUAAACUUUUCCUCAGGAAAUUGGUUUUAUCAUGGAAAACACCGAACAUGCAUUUGAAUGGCUAUGCAUUGACGCGGAAGCCACUUUUAACAGGGGAAACAUAAGAAAGAGACAUGUUCUUUCACUGGAGAUGCGGAGCAGACGGGGAAGUUGGUCUUCUCAAGGAAAACACUGAAUGGUUCAUGCUGGCUUAACAGAAAAAUCGAAAGGAGAUGAUGUGCUUGAAGAGUAUGAAGCCAACAAUACAUUAAGUGGGAUGAGAAGAGCUUACACAUACCAGAGACAUGGGAGCACUUUUGUGAUGCUGCAAGUGGGAGUGGGUAUCUUGCUUGGCUGAAAACUGCAGAGAAACACAUCUCAUCUUGCUGAAAACUACUCUUUACAAGGAGGUCCAAACACCAUUAGCAGAGACUUUGUUCAGUUAGCAUUAACAUGCAUUCUGCCUGGAUGCUAAUGAAUGGGAUGCUGUUGUUUAAGCUGAUAAAUGUAAGCAUUAUAAACCUUGUGACAUUAAUUGUACAU